GGGUGAGUAAUACAUAGAUAACCUGCCUUUAGCACAGGGACAACGGCUGGAAACGGCCGCUAAUACCUGAUGACGCCUGAGCUUGUCAUGGGCUCAGGCCAAAGGACGGGGAUCCGCAAGGACCUGUCGGCUUUAGAGGGGUUUAUGGCCUAUCAGCUUGUUGGCGGGGUAAUGGCCCACCAAGGCUAAGACGGGUACGAGGCCUGAGAGGGUGCCCUCGCACACUGGGACUGAGACACUGCCCAGACUCCUACGGGAGGCUGCAGUCGAGGAUCUUCGGCAAUGGGCGAAAGCCUGACCGAGCGACGCCGCGUGGAGGAGGAAGGCCUUCGGGUUGUAAACUCCUGUCAGAGGUUAGGAAAUAUGCGGUGGCUAAUAUCCGCCGCAUUUGACAAAAGCCUCAAAGGAAGCUCCGGCUAAAUCCGUGCCAGCAGCCGCGGUAAUACGGAUGGAGCGAGCGUUGUUCGGAAUCACUGGGCAUAAAGCGCAUGUAGGCGGCCCUGAAAGUCGGGUGUGAAAUCCUCCGGCUCACCCGGAGAAUUGCAUUUGAUACUCCAGGGCUUGAGUG
rnacentral:rRNA from 1 species